rnacentral:rRNA from 1 species
AGUGAACGCUGGCGGUAGGCCUAACACAUGCAAGUCGAACGGCAGCACAGUAAGAGCUUGCUCUUACGGGUGGCGAGUGGCGGACGGGUGAGGAAUACAUCGGAAUCUACUUUUUCGUGGGGGAUAACGUAGGGAAACUUACGCUAAUACCGCAUACGACCUACGGGUGAAAGCAGGGGAUCUUCGGACCUUGCGCGAUUGAAUGAGCCGAUGUCGGAUUAGCUAGUUGGCGGGGUAAAGGCCCACCAAGGCGACGAUCCGUGGCUGGUCUGAGAGGAUGAUCAGCCACACUGGAACUGAGACACGGUCCAGACUCCUACGGGAGGCAGCAGUGGGGAAUAUUGGACAAAGGGCGCAAGCCUGAUCCAGCCAUACCGCGUGGGUGAAGAAGGCCUUCGGGUUGUAAAGCCCUUUUGUUGGGAAAGAAAAGCAGCAGGUUAAUACCCCGCUGUUCUGACGGUACCCAAAGAAUAAGCACCGGCUAACUUCGUG